GCUGACGAGUACCAAAUAGGACGAAACGCGCGUCC
rnacentral:hammerhead_ribozyme from 1 species